AGAAGCUGAUGCGCAUAGGAUCACCCCCCAGAUGGGCUGAAUUCUCUCGCUCUUAGCGCUCCGGAAACUCGGAAUCCCACUUUGGUAGCAGUGAUUCGAACUAUUCUUCGUCCCACUACAGUGGGCGCUCAAGGGGACGUGGCUUGCGGAUCAGCAACAUUGUGCAGGCCCAGAUCGAGCAACUCUUCACGGCCGUGGCCAAGGUCGCCAUUUGUAGCUUCGAUGUCACCUGCCUGGGAUCACUACCGCUGAAAGACAAGGUGACGAGCCUGCAGUGUUUGCAGGAGCCACUGCGUCAGCUCUAUCUGUCGGAGUUGGCCAAUAAGAAACUCAGCUUGGGCUCUUUGGAAAUCUGUCCCACGGGACCACGGGUAAAGGUCAGUGCUACGGCCAUCUCGAAAGGAGCCAGUCCCGACGGAGCGGAGGAGAAUGAGUCCCAUUAUUACGCCCUUCCACAACAUUUCCGUGUGGUCAGCGGACCAACGUUCAGCCAAGGUGUCCUUGGGUUGUUUCUCAAGAUCCUCGACCAGUAGUGUAAUCGUAUCUACGUCUCGCCGCGUGUCCUCACGAAUGCGCUCAACUAUCUGAAGAAUGCUGUAAGCCACGCCUAUACCUGGAAGCUAAUCAAGCCGCACAUGGUGGCAGUUGUUCAGGAUGCGAUAUUCCCCAUCAUGUCAUUCACCGACUCCGAUCAGGACCUGUGGGUGAACGAUCCCUCCGAGUAUAUCCGCCUGAAGUUUGGAAAAUA
rnacentral:sRNA from 1 species